rnacentral:rRNA from 1 species
GUGCCAGCCGCCGCGGUAAUACGGAGGAUGCAAGCGUUAUCCGGAUUUAUUGGGUUUAAAGGGUGCGUAGGCGGAUCAAUAAGUCAGUGGUGAAAACCUGCAGCUUAACUGUAGAUGUGCCGUUGAUACUGUUGGUCUUGAGUAUGGUCAAGGUAGGCGGAAUGUGUAAUGUAGCGGUGAAAUGCUUAGAUAUUACACAGAACACCGAUUGCGAAGGCAGCUUGCUGGGCCAUUACUGACGCUGAUGCACGAAAGCGUGGGGAUCGAACAGGAUUAGAUACCCCCGUAGUCC